rnacentral:rRNA from 1 species
CGCGGUAUUUUGACCGUGCGAAGGUAGCAUAAUCAUUAGUCUUUUAAUUGAAGGCUUGUAUGAAGGGUUGGACGAGAAAUUAGCUGUCUUUGGGAGAAAAAUAAAAUUUAACUUUUAAGUGAGAGGGCUUAAAUGUUCUAAAGGGACGAUAAGACCCUAUAAAGUUUGACAUUUUAUUUUUUGGUGAGUGAGUUAGGAUAAUUAAAGUUUAUUAAAAAGUUAGAUGUUUUGUUGGGGCGACAAAAAUAUAAAUAAUUUAACUGUUUUUAUGUAGUUACAAAAAUAAUUGAAUUUAUGGUCCUUAUUAAAGAGUGAAGAGUAAAUUACUUUAGGGAUAACAGCGUAAUUUUUUUUGAGAGUUCGUAUCGACAAAAAAGUUUGCGACCUCGAUGUUGAAUUAAAGAUUCUUUGUAAUGUAGCAGUUAUAAAAGAGGGUCUGUUCGACCUUUAA